rnacentral:rRNA from 1 species
GACGAACGCUGGCGGCGUGCUUAACACAUGCAAGUCGAGCGGUAAGGCCCUUUGGGGUACACGAGCGGCGAACGGGUGAGUAACACGUGAGUAAUCUGCCUUUGGCUUGGGAAUAACUUCGGGAAAUCGGGGCUAAUGCCUGAUGUUUACUGUCUGCUGCAUGGUGGGUGGUGGAAAGAUUUUUUGGCCAGGGAUGAGCUCGCGGUCUAUCAGCUUGUUGGUGGGGUAAUGGUCACCAAGGCUUUGACGGGUAGCCGGCCUGAGAGGGUGUUCGGCCACACUGGGACUGAGACACGGCCCAGACUCCGUACGGGAGGCAGCAGGUGGGGAAUAUUGCGCAAUGGGCGUAAGCCUGACGCAGCGACGCCGC